UUUUUGAUGUUCUGUGUGAAACCUGGAAAUGUCCCAAAUACUAUACUGCAUUCACUAAGGUUCAAUAUGAGGCUGCGCGACUGCUUGUUUAUUUUCUUUCACUUUAACGCAUUUUGGGCGUUUGCGCUACCCGUACCUUAGAGCUAGUCUAUCCCUGUUUGAGACGUACGUAAGCAGUCGAGUUUGCAGUAAAGAUUUUAUGGAUUAUUUGUUUCUAUUGUGAAUGCAGGCAAUAAAAGCCACUGUGAAGAACCCCUGGUCCGAU